rnacentral:rRNA from 1 species
AUGAAAUUAAGGUGGAGAGUCCUGCAGGAGACAUGCACAUGCCUGAAACAGUCGUUGGUACAGCUCCUCCGCUGCAUCAACUAUGCUGGGACAAAUUCAUCUGCUAGACUGAAAAUAGAUGUUAGAUUACUUCGUGGCAAGAACCUGAAAACAUAA